UGACGUUGAAAGUCUUUGGAUGACUUGUGGUAAGGGGUGAAAGGCCAACCAAAUUCGUAGAUAGCUGGUUUUCCGCGAAAACUAUUUAGGUAGUGCGAUGAAUAAAUAUGUAUUUAGAGGUAGAGCACUAAAUGGGCUAGGGGGAAGAGAUUCUUACCAAACCUAAUAAAACUCCGAAUGCUAAAUAUAGUUCUUCAUCAGACAGACUGUGGGUGCUAAGGUCCAUGGUCGAGAGGGAAAAAGCCCAGACCACCAGAUAAGGUCCCGAAAUUGUGAUUAAGUGUGAAAGGAUGUGGAAAUUCCUUAACAGCCGGGAGGUUGGCUUAGAAGCAGCCAUCCUUUAAAGAUAGCGUAACAGCUCACCGGUCUAAUAGAGUUUCUGCGCCGAAGAUGUAACGGGGCUAAAAUCACAUACCGAAUCUGUGGGUUUAUAAAACUUUGUUUUAUAAGCGGUAGCGGAACGUUCUGUAAGCCUGUAAAGGAAUACCCGUGAGGGAUUCUGGAGGUAUCAGAAGUGCGAAUGCUGACAUAAGUAACGAUAAAUAAAGUGAAAAACUUUAUCGCCGAAAAUCCAAGGGUUUCUGCGCAAGGUUAAUCCGCGCAGAGUUAGUCGGCCCCUAAGGCGAGGGCGAAAGCCGUAGUCGAUGGAAAUAAGGUUAAUAUUCCUUAACCAGAUGGAAGUGACGAAUUUCGUAAGUUGUGAAUUCUUAAUGGAUUGAACUUGCUGUGAAGAAGUUCCAGGAAAUAGCUCCAUCAUAAGACCGUACCCUAAACCGACACAGGUGGAUUAAUAGAGUAUAUUUAGGCGCUUGAGAGAAUGAUGUUGAAGGAACUCGGCAAAAUGCUUCUGUAACUUCGGGAUAAAGAAGACCUUUUUUUGGGCAACCAAAUAGAAGGUGGCACAAGCCAGGGAGAAGCGACUGUUUAUCAAAAACACAGGGCUCUGCUAACACGUAAGUGGAUGUAUAGGGUCUGACGCCUGCCCGGUGCUGGAAGGUUAAUGCGAUGGGUGCAAGCUCAUUUCUGAAGCCCCAGUAAACGGCGGCCGUAACUAUAACGGUCCUAAGGUAGCGAAAUUCCUUGUCGGGUAAGUUCCGACCUGCAUGAAUGGCGUAACGAUUUCUCCGCUGUCUCCAACAUCAACUCAGUGAAAUUGAAUUCUCCGUGAAGAUGCGGAGUUCGCGUAGUUAGACGGAAAGACCCCGUGCACCUUUACUGCAACUUUACAUUGGUGUUAGGAAAAACAUAUUUAGCAUAGGAGGGAGACUUUGAAGCAAAGGCGUCAGCUUUUGUGGAGUCACCAGUGAAAUACCUCUUUUGUUUUUCUUGACAUCUAACUGAUUGCCGUUAUCCGGCAUCAAGACAUUGUAUGGUGGGUAGUUG
rnacentral:rRNA from 1 species